AUGGAUCCUGGAGACGUGCUAUUCAUCAGAUUUCAUUUUGAAGGCCAGUUUUUGAAUGAUGGGAAAACACUUGAAUAUAGUGGGGGAAAAGAGGCCAUGUCAUUUGUUUAUCGCAAGAACUUCUGUUUUUUUGAUCUGGUUCAGAGUUUUGGUAUGCACUGCCAAACAAAGGAUGACAAGAUGUUUCAUUGGUUAUAUCCUGGAAAAGAGAUGGUUUGUGGUCUGAAAAUGGUUGCUUUAGACAUAGAUUGCAAGCAGAUUAGAGAUUGUGUUGCUGUUGGAAGUAUAGCUGAAAUAUAUGUGGAGCUAUAUCCAAAUUCUGAAAACGACGAACACGACAGGGAUCCAGGCAGAGAUGUUGAGCUUCUGAUGGGUCCGAAUGCUAGUAGUGAAUCAGAGGGAGCUGCAGAUCAUUUUGUCGCAUUGGCUACUUGUCCACCUGCGGACAAUGAUUGUGUUGCAAUUAGUAACUCAAAAGAGCCUGAAGAGGAAAAUUCAGAUGCUGCAAAUGAAAAUUCAGAAGAAGAUGAAGACGAGGAUAGCAGCGAGAGUGAUUACUGCCCUGAUGAUGACAUCAUUUCCGAUGAAGAUGAAGAGGCUGUCGAGAUCAACAAGAAAUAUAAAGAGUAUAAGGCAAAGAUGAAGGCUGGACAACUAGAGCACCUUGAUGAUGCUAUGCUGGAUGGUGGGCCUGCAAUAGGGUCAUCAAAUAAGGUGGGGGAGGAAAAUGAUGGAAAUGGUACUGCAUAUGAAGAUAGCUCUGAUUUUAUGAUUCUUUCGAUGAGAUUGGCAGUGAUGGUGAAGUAA
rnacentral:rRNA from 1 species